GGUGAACGCUGGCGGCGGGCCUAAUACAUGCAAGUCGAGCGAACAGACGAGGAGCUUGCUCCUCUGACGUUAGCGGCGGACGGGUGAGUAACACGUGGAUAACCUACCUAUAAGACUGGGAUAACUUCGGGAAACCGGAGCUAAUACCGGAUAAUAUAUUGAACCGCAUGGUUCAAUAGUGAAAGACGGUUUUGCUGUCACUUAUAGAUGGAUCCGCGCCGCAUUAGCUAGUUGGUAAGGUAACGGCUUACCAAGGCAACGAUGCGUAGCCGACCUGAGAGGGUGAUCGGCCACACUGGAACUGAGACACGGUCCAGACUCCUACGGGAGGCAGCAGUAGGGAAUCUUCCGCAAUGGGCGAAAGCCUGACGGAGCCACGCCGCGUGAGUGAUGAAGGUCUUCGGAUCGUAAAACUCUGUUAUUAGGGAAGAACAAAUGUGUAAGUAACUAUGCACGUCUUGACGGUACCUAAUCAGAAAGCCACGGCUAACUACGUG
rnacentral:rRNA from 1 species